GAUUAACGCUGGCGGCGUGCAUAACACAUGCAAGUCGAACGAUGAAACUCAUUAGAUUUCUUCGGAAUGAAAAUGAAUGGAUUAGUGGCGAACGGGUGAGUAACGCGUGAGUAACCUGCCUUACACAAGGGGAUAGCCUCUGGAAACGGAGAAUAAUACCCUAUGAAACCAGACAAUCGCAUGAUAAUCUGGUCAAAAUGUUUAGUGGUGUAAGAUGGACUUGCGUCUGAUUAGCUAGUUGGUGAGAUAAAAGCUCACCAAGGCAACGAUCAGUAGCCGGCUUGAGAGAGUGUACGGCCACAUUGGGACUGAGACACGGCCCAGACUCCUACGGGAGGCAGCAGUGGGGAAUUUUGCACAAUGGGGGAAACCCUGAUGCAGCGACGCCGCGUGAUUUAGGAGGCCUUCGGGUUGUAAAAAUCUUUUGUAUAGGAAGAAAAUGACAGUACUAUACGAAUAAGGUCCGGCUAAUUACGUG
rnacentral:rRNA from 1 species